GCGCUCACUUUGGCAGCACAUUUACUAACAUUGGAAUAAUACAGAGAAGAUAACAUGGCUCCUGUGCAAGAAUGACAUGUAAAUUAGUGAAACUUUCCAUAUUAAA
ensembl:snRNA U6 U6 spliceosomal RNA